GAGAGCCGUAACACAGGUGGCUGCAUGGCUGUCGUCAGCUCGUGUCGUGAGAUGUUGGGUUAAGUCCGCAACGAGCGCAACCCUUGUCAUUAGUUGCUACAUUCAGUUGGGCACUCUAAUGAGACUGCCGGUGACAAGCCGGAGGAAGGUGGGGAUGACGUCAAGUCCUCAUGGCCCUUAUAGGUGGGGCUACACACGUCAUACAAUGGCUGGUACAAAGGGUUGCCAACCCGCGAGGGGGAGCCAAUCCCAUAAAGCCAGUCGUAGUCCGGAUCGUAGUCUGCAACUCGACUACGUGAAGUCGGAAUCGCUAGUAAUCGUGGAUCAGAAUGUCACGGUGAAUACGUUCCCGGGUCUU
rnacentral:rRNA from 1 species